AUGCCGAGCCGGACUCCCCACCUCAUCCAGCCUGAUUCUUCCCUCAUUUUUAUCCUCCGAAUUCAGGACGCAUCCCGUGCUAGCAGGAUGUGCUAUGUGACCGUUGUGAAUUUAGGCCAUUUUCACCCCAGAGCUGGCCCCUUCCACACUCCGGCCUUCCGUGGGGACGUCCAUCCCACCCCCACGCCCUCCAUGCGAUUCCGCAGCUGGGACUGGGUCCCCGACCCCAGACCAUGUGUCUGCCCACCCGCCGUGGGUACUGGUCCCGUGGUGGCCCAGGGACCCUCUCAGCCAGGGGGAGCCUGGCGGACUGUGCGGAAGCAGAUGGUGCUGGAAUGUGGUGGGGCUCCCCUCCAGGGCAGGGGAGGAGAGAGCAGGCUUGGACGCGGGGCUGGGUAUUAUUCCCACACCGAGAUGUGCCAGGUGCCUCCUGAGAGCCCUGGGCAGAGCGAGCGGCCUGCAGCCAGAUGGGCCCCGAGGCCACCAGCCUGCCGCGCGUCCUGGCUGGGGAGGAAGGCGUGCGGCGGAGGGGCCCGGAGGGAGGGUGGACAGCCGGCCCGAGCAUCUGGUCUCCCUCCCUCCGCCCCUCCUGCACUGUUAUCUCAAAGCCCUCUUUACAGACUCGUGUCCCUGAGGGUCCCGGCAUCUCGUGCCCCAGGCCCAGCACUAAGCUGGGGUUCCCGGGCCCCACCGCCCGGGAAGUCUGGUCCCGCAGGCAGACGCACUGGAGAUGGGACACACCAUCCACCGACAGGGCUGUCCCGUGCCGUCACUGGUCUACAGUCUUCCUCAUGCCGCCUGGUGUGACCCUCCCGCAUCUCCAGCCGCCGUUUCUGGUCGUGCUCCCUGGCAGCAGGCCACAAACUCGCUUCCCAGCACACAGUGCCAGGCUCUCACUGCCUCAGGGCCCUUGCACAUGCUAGGCCGUCUGCUUGGAGUUUCUGUCCCCUCCUCAGCCUUCUGGUCGGAUCUCAGAUGUCAACCCCCCGCCCCCCGCUUCCACACAGAUCGCGUGUGCUCAUUUCCCACCACAGGUGACCGCGUGCCUGUCUUUGCGAUGGUUCAGGUUGGGCAUCCCCACGAGGCCUCCCGGAGGGCAGAGUGGGGUCUGUCUUGCUCGUGGCCGCGUCUGCAGCACUCGGCACGGGUCUGCACAGAGCCGGUGCUCAGAAGUAGGUAUUUCUGCGACUCCGUGAAAGGCCGGGGCGGACGCUCGUAGGCCUGACCAAGCUCGCUUUCUGGCUCGCUUCCCCCAGAAGGCCCUGUGUGCACUUCCCGCCCAGAAGGCGGGUCUCUGUCGUGAAACCAGCUUUGCCGCUUUGCCUGGGACGGAAGCAGAUGCCACCCGGUCCCUACGCGCGGCUUCUGGCCGGCAGCUUGUCGCCCGCGAGCGCCUGAGUUGGUCUGUGACCCUCAGCACCUGCCCACGCGGUGGGCUCAAGCCCGGGGAGGGUGGCCCCGUGGGGUUAAGCUCUGUCCCCACAGCACUGGGUCAUUUGGUGAUGUGCCCUUUCCUCCCCGCUCCCCCUCGGCCCCCAAAUAAGCCACUUGACUUAUUGACUUAUUAGCCAUGUUGACUAAGUAAACAUUAAAAAAUUAAAAAAAAAAAAGAAUUCGAUACUUUUUAAAAAUGUUUUACUUAUUUUUGAGAAAGAGCAAGUGGGGGAGGGGCAGAGAGAGAGGGAGACACAGAAUGAGAAGCAGGCUCCAGGCUCCGAGCCGUCAGCACAGAGCCCGACGCGGGGCUCAAACCCACGAACCAUAAAAUCAUGACCUGAGCCAAAGUCAGAUGUUUAAUCAACUGAGC
rnacentral:lncRNA from 1 species